ensembl:lncRNA
AAGGCUCCCUAACCCAGGGACCUCAGGAGCAAGCCAUGUAUCUGAGUGACUGGAAGGGGUGGAGCCUGAAUCCGUCUCUCCUCACUCCCAUUUCAGGGUUAAUAGCAGAGGGAGCAGUAUCUCUCUGGAUAGAGAUUGUAUUUCUCUCAAGCUGUCACUGGUUGUGAGAAGGGGUGAGCUGAUUUUUAGUCUUAAAAUAACUUUGCUAUGAAGCUUAAUACAAGUUUCUAUGCCAAAGUUGUGGCCUUGAAUAAAGAGCCAGAGAGGGGAACCUUGGCUGCAAGAGGUUUGUUAGACUGACAUGAAGCCCUUCAGGAAACACAUGAAGAUGGAUGAGACCUACUGAAACUUCUUCCGCGUUCUCUUUCCUCUGGAAGUCUUAUCAGUGUAUAUCACUGCCUGAUUGUGGUAACUCAUCUGUCUGCAUUGAAUGCAUUUUCAAAAACAUAACGCUUUUCCAUUGCCAGUAAUAGUAACAGAUCUGCUCUGAUGCUAGAGUAUCAGCAAGUGAAAAGUGAAGAAAACUUCUCUACUAAAACUUUUAAUGUGAUAGAAAAUGUUGGCAUGACCUCUGCUGACAGAAAAGAAGUUCUCCUCAACAGUUUUUAAGAUGCAGAGCAAUGAGAGUUCAGCUAAAAAGCUAUAUAUGCAGAAGCGCCUCUCAUUUACUCAUGUUGACACAGCGUUGGUUUCAGGAAUUUCUGAAAAUUUUAAGAUUACCAAAGAACCUGAAGCACAGAUUUUAAACUAUAAUUUAGAGAUACCACCUCAAGCCCAAGUCAUAUCAGUACCACUUUCUUGUUUCUCACCUAUAAUGCAGCAGCUGAUAUCUACCAGAAUUAAACGUGUCCCUGAAGUAAGGGAGGCUACAGAAAUACCAACUGUUACUUAUAUUUGGCCAGUAUUAAAGAUAGGAGAGGCUUGCAAACACUACUGGGACAGACUUCCAAAUUCCUUAAUACCAAACAGCCCAAACUUAUCAAGGUACUGUUCUAGUCCUGAUGUAGUAACUGAAGAUGUAAUGUGUUCCCAAGUAACCCCAGCGAAACAGCUUGCACAAGAAGAGCAAGGCAGCAAGACAACAAAAUCAUAUUCUCUUAUUUUGAAGUCUUCCAACACUGUUGUUUCAGGAAUUCUAAGAUCAUUGGCUAAUACUGAGAAUAAGGAUUAUAAAAAUAUUUUGCCACUUUCAUCUAUUAGCUCUAUUGGAAAGAAAGUGAAAAUUCCAUUUAAGGAAAAUGCUAUGAUAAUACAUAAUGGAGAAGUCUACAUCCCUUACGUAACGAGACAUGAAACUUUGUCAACAGAAAUGGAAAUACAGAAUCAAGAUACGUUGCUCAGGAAGAUCACAGUUUCUUUCAUUACUUGCAAAACUAUCCGCGAAAGGACAGGACAGUUCCUCAAGAAGGCUGCUUUCCCAUCCAAAGAACUGCAAAAUAGAAAUGAGAGAGAAGCACAACAGAAAGUAGACAAAGAAGUAAGAAAUAAAUUUGGUGUUGUUAAAGAUAUAAGAAUACAUCUCAAGAGGAUAAAUCCCAGUGAACUUAAAGAAGAUUUUGGCAAAGCUUAUACAUUUAAAUGGAAGUUCCCCAAGAAGGCUGCUUCUCCAUCCAAAGAAUCGCAAAGGAGAAUUGAGAGAGUAGCACAACAGAAAGAAGACAAUGAACUAAGAAGGAAAUUUGGUAUCAUUAAAGAUAUAAGAAUCCAUCUCAAGAGGUUAAAAUUUUCAUGCAAUUCUAUUGUUCAAGUUGUUUAUCUGCAGCAGAGUUAACAAUCAAUAACAAAUUACUGUUUCUCUUUGAUCUAUUAUCUCUUGUUCAGUCUGUAGCACUCAAGUCACGUUUUGUCAACUGAAUCUUAAACCAAUGUCUACCGCUCCUUCCAAGAUCUUUGAGAAAGACCUACUUUUAUUGUCCCUGGGUGGAAACAACAUUGGUGUACACUCAGCAUUCAUGAAAAAUGUGCUAUAACUGUUUUGUGAAAUAUUUCAAAGCCAGAUAAAGCAAUACUUUCCAGAGUAUGUUAACAGAGCACAGGUAUUAAUUACUUUUCUUUUUUUCCUUUCUUCCAGUACCAAAAUAAAACAUCUGGUGUAAAAAAUAAUAAUAAUAAUAAUUGUGCUUGCUGUCAUUUUUCUCAUUUUCUUUCCCCAGUAAAUAUGCCAAGGCAGGUUCUUAGUUUUGACAGUGUUUCUCCAUCUAUCCACAUUUUCAUUUCUCAACAAGCGUCCCAAAAAUCAAGUACAGUCAAAUACUUAAUGAAACACUUCAUGUUUAUUCUAGAGCUGUUUUACACAGAUGCUUCCACUUGCCUGUCUGAUAUUGAGAACUUUUCAGAUACCAAGUGUUAUGAGAAGUUCUCAUUAACUUUAAUUAUUACUGUCACUACCUUUUCACUAUUUUCUACUUCCAUAUCCUUCUCUUUGUAGAUUAUAUUCAAUUUGUUGCUUUGUCAUUUCUUCAGACUUUGCUCAUUGUAAUUAGAAUUAUUCAAGUAAUAAAAAGAUGUUUUACCUCCUCUAAAUUAUUGAACCUUACCUUUUUCUGGUUUGUGAUCAUUUCUUGAAAAUUAGGUUUGUGUUUAGGUUACAAUACUGGAAUUAAUCCAGGAUUGUUGAUUCUUCCUGAAGCAUAUUACACAUACAAGUUCC